rnacentral:rRNA from 1 species
GACGAACGCUGGCGGCGUGCUUAACACAUGCAAGUCGAACGGUGAGGCCCUUCGGGGUACACGAGUGGCGAACGGGUGAGUAACACGUGGGUGAUCUGCCCUGCACUUCGGGAUAAGCCUGGGAAACUGGGUCUAAUACCGGAUAGGACCACUGCCUGCAUGGGUGGUGGUGGGAAGCUUUUGCGGUGUGGGAUGGGCCCGCGGCCUAUCAGCUUGUUGGUAGGGUGAUGGCCUACCAAGGCGACGACGGGUAGCCGGCCUGAGAGGGUGACCGGCCACACUGGGACUGAGAUACGGCCCAGACUCCUACGGGAGGCAGCAGUGGGGAAUAUUGCACAAUGGGCGCAAGCCUGAUGCAGCGACGCCGCGUGAGGGAUGACGGCCUUCGGGUUGUAAACCUCUUUCAGCACCGACGAAGCGCAAGUGACGGUAGGUGCAGAAGAAGGACCGGCCAACUACGUGCCAGCCGCCGCGGUAA